UCUUUUCUGUAGCCAAGGAACAGUUUUCCCCCUUGAGAAAUUUCAUUCUCUUCCACAUUAAGUGAGACGGGUUAAUGACAGAUGGAUCUCCCUAGAAUGAGGAGGGAAGCAAACCAAUUACACUGAUGACCAUGAAAAUAUAUGCAAGGUAAAAAAGUAUGUGUGUGUCCCUGCUACUGCUGGACUGCUCCUGGAACUGCUUCUGCUAGUGCCUGAGGAUGGACUGCAAGCAAACCAAGAGGGAUGAGCAGUCACAAUGCAGAGCCCAGCAAGCACUGUUUGGAACAGGUUCUUUGCAAACACAGAAGGUGUCAUGUGUGUUAACUCUCUGAAGCAGAUCAGCUACCUGAGGAUCCUAAGUCUGCAGCAAAGAAAUAUGCUGGGCUGCACUGGCGGCCCUGGUAUGCCCUGUAUCAGAUAAUGGACUUCAAUUUCUGUUGAUUUUGAAGAAAACUUGAAAACAUUGGGAAAAAUCUUCAAGGACUGUAAGACAACAGCCAUUACCAGGACAAACCCGUGUGGAUGAAUAUUUUAACCACAGUUUAUCCACUUAAGAGGAAACCAAUCUCUCAGAUCACUAAGAAUCAAACAGGUGAUUUUCAUGACUGAUAUUAAAUAAAGUUUCAUUAUCUACCAAUAAAUGUUUACCACAGCUGAGAACAGGUUGUUUAGCUUUAACCAACAAAGCCUGGCAAAACCUUUCUAAAAACACAGUGAACCAAACCAAUACACCACGUAAGAAGUGGAUGUAAAAAGAAAGAGGGUCUCCUAUAUUUACUAUAUUUUCAAUUAAGCUCUAACUCAUACUGAGGCAGGGCAUAGGUCUGUGCCUCUGCAGACACAAGGAUUUUGUUCAUUGUGAUUACAGCAGGUUUUAUUAAAACCUUGAAUGAAGAUUUGUUUCCCUGAAGCUCUGGCUUGCUAACAGCUCUGGGAGGAUGAAUGACAGCAUCAAACCUCAUCAGCCCAGAAAUGAAGAAUGCCAACAACUUGUCUAACCUGUAGAUCAGAGGUUGCAGGAUUCAUACAAUUUGAAUCUGAGCAUUUCUUUAAAACAACAGUCUGACCAACUUAAGCAACUUUCAAGGAUGGAGAACCAAAGCCAACCUACUGCAACAUUUAGAAACUUGCUCUACUGGUCAGUCACCUUCACUGUCAAAAUAUUUGUAUAGAUUUUCUUUUUUCUCCAUUAUAAUUUAUUUCUUACUGCCUAUUUUUGAAGGCCUGAAGUUAUUUUGGACACUGGUAUACCAACCCAAUACCACUUCACUUUCAGUCUCUGUUCAUACUGUGCAAAACCUCCUAACCAACAGGUCUUGCAUCACUCCUAUGUUCUAUGCAGAAACUAGGUGCAAAUUCAAACCCAGCAUUUAACAUGAGAAAACAUCAGGCCAAGCAGGAAAGAGCAAAGAAUUACAAAGUCAAUUUUGGCCAGAGCGGGGAGGAGAGACAGAGAAACAAGCAAGAUAAGCUGUGGGGUUUCAGGAGAAAAGCCCCCCCCACACACACAAACACUUCCCCCACCCCAGUUCCCAGAAAAUCCAGUGUUUGCCUCUGGUGAAUGCUAUUUCCCCUUCUGCCUUCCACAUGUAGCAGCCACAGCAAGUCACUCCUCAGGUGCUUCCAGAGUCACUGCUGUCACUCAUACUCACUGUCACACACCAUCAGCACUCGAUGGGCCAGGCACAAACAUUUCUACAGACAGAUUGCUCUGGCCAGCAAAAAGCAAAGAGUGGUUACAGGCAGCAGCUGCAAAGCCUGUUUCUGUGACCUCUCCCUCCCUAGUGUUUACAUGGGAAGGAUGGAAUGCCAUAGAGCAUACUCUCUGAGGUACAGUUGACUAAAACAGCUUUGCAAAGCCAGUCCCAAAACAUUUCUUUCCCAUGUUUUUGGGAGCUGCAGCUAUUUAAAUUAUCAUCUUGAAGUAUUAAACUCCUGACUUCCUCAUUUUAGCAUUAAAAACAAAACAGCAACAAAGCAACUAAGAAAAACAUACUUGACAUGACAUGUCCCAUGUCUGACCCAUCUAACAUCCACUCAGAGCAGGGAUCCAAUACUGACACUCAUCCCUAUGCACAAACAGGGGACCCGAGAAAAGGAGGGACAGCAAAAAACAUCUGAAACUCCAUCCAAACAACAAUACUUGUGGUACAUAGGAAGAGGACACAGGGGGCACACAACAGAGUUCAGGAUGAAGGACUAGCCUGUGAUACUACAAAAGCAAGGUCUCCCCUCCCAAGUGUUUCUCGCAGGAAUCACCUCACACCUGUCCCUAUUACCUCAUCACACGAACUUAAAUGGAGUUAUUCUGACUUGCACCAAUGGGAGGUUGGAACACAACUCACAAAAAGUGAGUUUUAUGUUUUCUUUUGUUGUUUUAAUGCCAAUAAACAGGAAACACUUUUCUCUCAGGCUCUCCUAGGACAUGCCACACUCCUUACACCAGAUCAGCUCUUAAGAGGCAGUGAGUGUUCAGCAUGGGUAGGAACAUCUAGAUAUCCACAUCAGCUCUGUUAUUUAGCUAUCAAGAAAGAGAGAUAAAGAUUUAAAAUAGAAAGUAGGUAGAAACAACAGUUUUGGAAAAAGUUUAAACAAAACAAGGGCUCUGCAA